rnacentral:rRNA from 1 species
CCUACGGGCGGCAGCAGUGAGGAAUAUUGGUCAAUGGGCGGGAGCCUGAACCAGCCAAGUCGCGUGAGGGAAGACGGUCCUAUGGAUUGUAAACCUCUUUAGGCGGGGAGCAAUGCCGGGCACGCGUGCCCGGAGGGAGAGUACCCGCAGAAUAAGCAACGGCUAACUCAGUGCCAGCAGCCGCGGUAAUACGGAGGAUGCGAGCGUUAUCCGGAUUUAGUGGGUUUAAAGGGAGCGUAGGCGGAUUUUUAAGUCAGCGGUAAAAUGUCCGGGCUCAACCCGGGCCGGCCGUUGAAACUGGGGAUCUUGAGUGGGCGAGAGGUAUGCGGAAUGCGUGGUGUAGCGGUGAAAUGCAUAGAUAUCACGAAGAACUCCGAUUGCGAAGGCAGCAUACCGGCGCCCGACUGACGCUGAGGCACGAAAGCGUGGGGAUCGAACAGGAUUAGUUACCCUUGUAGUC